GAUCCUGGCUCAGGAUGAACGCUGGCGGCAUGCCUAAGACAUGCAAGUUGAACGGAGCGAACUUAUGAAGAUGGAGUGCUCUUCAAAUCGAGUGGCGAACGGGUGAGUAACGCGUGAGGAACCUGCCUCAAAGAGGGGGGACAACAGUUGGAAACGACUGCUAAUACCGCAUAAGCCCACGGCUCGGCAUCGAGCAGAGGGAAAAGGAGCAAUCCGCUUUGAGAUGGCCUCGCGUCCGAUUAGCUAGUUGGUGAGGUAACGGCCCACCAAGGCGACGAUCGGUAGCCGGACUGAGAGGUUGAACGGCCACAUUGGGACUGAGACACGGCCCAAACUCCUACGGGAGGCAGCAGUGGGGAAUAUUGCACAAUGGGCGCAAGCCUGAUGCAGCAACGCCGCGUGGAGGAAGACGGUUUUCGGAUUGUAAACUCCUGUUCUUAGUGAAGAAUAAUGACGGUAGCUAAGGAGCAAGCCACGGCUAACUACGUG
rnacentral:rRNA from 1 species